UACGUAGGGGGCAAGCGUUGUCCGGGAUUAUUGGGCGUAAAGCGCGCGCAGGCGGUUCCUUAAGUCUGAUGUGAAAGCCCACGGCUCAACCGUGGAGGGCCAUUGGAAACUGGGGAACUUGAGGAUAGAUGAGGAGAGUGGAAUUCCACGUGUAGCGGUGAAAUGCGUAGAUAUGUGGAGGAACACCAGUGGCGAAGGCGACUCUCUGGUCUAUCUCUGACGCUGAGGUGCGAAAGCGUGGGUAGCAAACAGG
rnacentral:misc_RNA from 1 species